UUUAUAAUGUAUUUAAUUAUAUUACUUCAUAACCAAAGAAAUUUGAGUAGAUUUUGGAUUAUUAUUUAUUUUAUUUCAGUCAAUUUCAACGAGAAAAAAUGUUUUCAGCGGAAGAGCAUGUCCAACCUGGAAUGGUUUUCGAAGUCAUCUUAAAUCGAGAAACAGGUGAAAGUUUUGGUCUGAAUAUUGUUGGUGGCACAGAUUCUAGAGAGUUUGGUAAUAAUACAAGUAUUUUCAUAUCAUCCAUUAACUCUCAUGGUCCUGCGGCUUCUUGUAAACAACUGGAUGUUGGCGACAGAAUUUUACAGAUGACAAGAUUUUGAAUGAUGUUACUCAUUCAGAAGCAGUUGAAGCUUUUCGUAAUAGUGGUUUGUCAGUUAAACUAAGGGUUGAGAAGUUUGCUCAGCAAUUAUUUGUUGCAAACCUUUCAGAAACCAACAUUUCAAAUACUACAAUUAGUGGUCGCAUUCGCAACUUUGUAAAUUCAUGGGCAGGGGCUCUUCUAAUUGGUACUACAACAGGAAUUGUGGUGAUGUACACAAUAUCAAAACAUUGGAAACUAAAUCUGAAGUGAUCUUUUCACAACAAGAACUUUGCUGUUACCUUAUACAAUAGACAUUUGGCAAGUUAUAAAUUUAUAAUAUAUAUAUUUUUUGUACAUAUUAAGUGAUAUAUUUGUUGGAUGUUAUAAAGAAAGAACAUUUUCCUUAUUUA